rnacentral:rRNA from 1 species
UGCCACAGCCAUAUCACCCUGCAGCCCAAGACUGGUCCCCCACUGAAGCUGAGCAGGGCUGAGCUGGUCAGUAGCUGGAUGGGAGACCUCCUGGGGAAACUAUGCUGCUGCUGGAA